rnacentral:rRNA from 1 species
UACGAAGGGGGCUAGCGUUGCUCGGAAUGACUGGGCGUAAAGGGCGCGUAGGCGGAUGGCACAGUCAGAUGUGAAAUUCCUGGGCUUAACCUGGGGGCUGCAUUUGAUACGUGUUGUCUAGAGUGAGGAAGAGGGUCGUGGAAUUCCCAGUGUAGAGGUGAAAUUCGUAGAUAUUGGGAAGAACACCGGUGGCGAAGGCGGCGACCUGGUCCUUGACUGACGCUGAGGCGCGAAAGCGUGGGGAGCAAACAGG